rnacentral:rRNA from 1 species
CCUACGGGUGGCAGCAGUGAGGAAUAUUGGUCAAUGGACGCAAGUCUGAACCAGCCAUGCCGCGUGCAGGAAUACGGCUCUAUGAGUUGUAAACUGCUUUUGUACGAGGGUAAACGCAGAUACGUUUAUCUGUCUGAAAGUCUCGUACGAAUAAGGAUCGGCUAACUCCGUGCCAGCAGCCGCGGUAAUCCGGAGGAUUCAAGCGUUAUCCGGAUUUUUUGGGUUUAAAGGGUGCGUAGGCGGUCGGAUAAGUUAGAGGUGAAAUCCCGAGGCUCAACUUCGGAAUUGCCUCUGAUACUGGUAGGCUAGAGAGUAGUUGCGGUAGGCGGAAUGUAUGGUGUAGCGGUGAAAUGCUUAGAGAUCAUACAGAACACCGAUUGCGAAGGCAGCUUACCAAGCUACUUCUGACGUUGAGGUACGAAAGCGUGGGGAGCAAACAGGAUUAGAUACCCCUGUAGUC